GGGGCGUUAGCUCAGUUGGUAGAGCAGCGGACUCUUAAUCCGUAGGUCCUGGUUCGAAUCUGUGACGCCCCACCA
rnacentral:tRNA from 1 species